rnacentral:misc_RNA from 1 species
UCCGUAAAGGUGGAUGAGUGGUGUUUGGUUUGUCACGUGUGGUUGGCUGCGGCGUUUGCAACAACUUCCAUGCUUUCAGACCUCUUCAGUUGUGCGGCAAGGCUUGUAUCGCCUUGCCGUAUUGCGGGUUUUCUGUGUUGAAUACCUAAUCAAUGGUAUCGGUUGGAUUGAUCAAUGUUUCAUUUCGUCUGUCGUCGCAUUUGCGGCGUGAGACGAACCUUGAUGCGGUCUCUUUGGUCCACCUCGGUGAAGCACAUGCUUUGACGUUGUGGCACAUUGAGCAUUGCUUGGUCUCUUGUAUACGGAACAUAUAGUGGGCAUGGAUCUAACGAUUCUUCUUUGCCCUCAUGUUAGCGUAACGCUUCUCUUACACGACUUGCUCCACGUUUUAGCUCGUACGGACGUGGUUCUAUGUCGAARAGGAAUGCUACCUGGUUGA